UGAGUGGCGGACGGGUGAGUGACGCGUGAGCAACCUGCCCUUCGGAACGGGAUAGUGUCUGGAAACGGACAGUAAUACCGUAUAACAUAUAUUGAUCGCAUGGUCGAUGUAUCAAAACUGAGGUGCCGAAGGAUGGGCUCGCGUCUGAUUAGAUAGUUGGUGGGGUAACGGCCUACCAAGUCGACGAUCAGUAGCCGGACUGAGAGGUUGAACGGCCACAUUGGGACUGAGACACGGCCCAGACUCCUACGGGAGGCAGCAGUGGGGAAUAUUGCACAAUGGGGGAAACCCUGAUGCAGCAACGCCGCGUGAAGGAAGACGGUUUUCGGAUUGUAAACUUCUGUUCUUAGUGAAGAAUAAUGACGGUAGCUAAGGAGCAAGCCACGGCUAACUACGUGCCAGCAGCCGCGGUAAUACGUAGGUGGCAAGCGUUGUCCGGAAUUACUGGGUGUAAAGGGAGCGUAGGCGGGAUGCCAAGUCAGCUGUGAAAACUAUGG
rnacentral:rRNA from 1 species